GGUGUAUGUGGCCAUGGGACCAUUUUUGCCAUUUGAAAUGUAGUAUCCGGUCAUCGAAACCAGGAUCGUUCAAUAAAAUAAAGGGUUUAUUUUAAAAUGGUCUGGGACACAGUUUACGUACGUUUCAAAAAUACCAGGUGCACAAUUUACGCAGUUUAGCCAGUGACGUUGGACAGCUACACUAAAUGCAUUAUUUGUCACAAAAACGUUUGGUAACGACGAUAACGUUUACGUGCGAUCACGUUGCUGGCUUCGAGUACAGGCCUAAUUGUCUGGACGGCACUCAGGACAUAACCGUGAGUUCGUUCAUGCGUCAUAUAAGUCGAUUUCGAAAAAACACGCUGCAAUAAAUUUAAUACCAAAACAAAUAGUUACACUACAUAACAAUUUAAUAUUAAGUAUAAUAUUUUUACAUUAUUUUGAACAAAUAUUCAACGUUAUAUUUUAUAAAAUAAUAACACAAUAAUAUAUUAUAUUUUAAUAUUCAUUCAAAUAUUUUGUAUAAACUUAUUUCGAAAAGUAAUAUGUAUACUUUAUAUUAUAACAAUAUGUAAACAUAA